AAGCUUGCUUUCUUAGUGGCGGACGGGUGAGUAACACGUGAGUACCUGCCUCUGAGAGUGGGAUAGCUUCUGGAAACGGAUGGUAAUACCGCAUGAAAUCGCAUGGUUCAAAGAUUUAGCUCAGAGAUGGACUCGCGUCUGAUUAGCUAGUUGGUAAGGUAACGGCUUACUAAGGCGACGAUCAGUAGCCGGACUGAGAGGUUGAUCGGCCACAUUGGGACUGAGACACGGCCCAGACUCCUACGGGAGGCAGCAGUGGGGAAUAUUGCACAAUGGGGGAAACCCUGAUGCAGCGAUGCCGCGUGGAGGAAGAAGGUUUUCGGACUGUAAACUCCUGUUGAAGAGGACGAUAAUGACGGUACUCUUUUAGAAAGCUCCGGCUAACUACGUGCCAGCAGCCGCGGUAAUACGUAGGGAGCGAGCGUUGUCCGGAAUUACUGGGUGUAAAGGGAGCGUAGGCGGGACGGCAAGUCAGAUGUGAAAACUAUGGGCUCAACCCAUAGACUGCAUUUGAAACUGUUGUUCUUGAGUGAGGUAGAGGUAAGCGGAAUUCCUGGUGUAGCGGUGAAAUGCGUAGAGAUCAGGAGGAACAUCGGUGGCGAAGGCGGCUUACUGGGCCUUUACUGACGCUGAGGCUCGAAAGCGUGAGGAGCAAACAGGAU
rnacentral:rRNA from 1 species